UAUCGACGAGUUUGAUCAUGGCUCAGGAUGAACGCUAGCGGCAGGCCUAAUACAUGCAAGUCGAACGGCCCCGACACUUCGGUGUCGGGGUAGUGGCGCACGGGUGCGUAACGCGUACACAACAUACCCUUUACCUAGGGGAGUAGCGGCGGGAAACGUAGCCAGUAAUACCCCACUGUCCUUGCGAGGUGGCAUCAUUUUGUCAAAGAAAGUUCAAGCGGUAAAGGAUUGGUGUGCGUCCGAUUAGCUAGUUGGCGGGGUAACGGCCCACCAAGGCGACGAUCGGUAGGGGGUGGUGAGAGCAUGGCCCCCCGACCACGGGUACUGAGACACGGACCCGACUCCUACGGGAGGCAGCAGUAAGGAAUAUUGGACAAUGGACGGUAGUCUGAUCCAGCCAUGCCGCGUGAAGGAAGAAGGCGCUCAGCGUUGUAAACUUCUUUUGGAUGGGAAUAAUAAUGUCGACGUGCUCGGCACUUGAAGGUACCAUCAGAAUAAGCACCGGCUAACUCCGUG
rnacentral:rRNA from 1 species